AUUAUUGUCUUGUCAAAACAAUACACUAUAGAGGUUGUAAAUGUUUUUUUUUUAUUACAGUGAGGAGGACGUAAUUCAAUAUGCAGCAGCACAGAUAAAUGCCACAAAAACAUUUGAAUUAUGCGUGUCACGAGACAACAUGGUUGAGAGAGGUCUAAAGAUGUUGAAACGGCAAAAAAUAGGAAGCCCUGUCAAUCCCUUGAAAAUUAGCUUCCUGGGAGAACACGGAGUUGACACAGGGGCACUGAGGAAAGAGUUUCUUACCACAAUUGUUGCCGGCUUUGAAAAACGUCUCUUUGAAGGUGAUUCAAAGAAUGGAAAAAUGCCUAAGUACUCCCUGAAUGAUCUCGAUAAUGAGCUGUUCAAAGUUGCAGGUGAAAUAUUUGCUGUGAGCAUUGCCCAAGGAGGACCAGCCCCAUGGUUUAUGCAAGAAUGGUGUUAUGAAUACCUUGCAACUGGUAACAUCAGACGGGAUGGAGUACAUGACACAGAGAUAUCACCACUAAUU